ensembl:ncRNA F46B6.18 ncRNA
GAGGGGCAGCUGACUGGUCGCCGUCCGCCUCCGGCUGCUCCUCCUCCUUCACCACCGGCCCCAACCACCGUACCCAUCUUUCCGCCAGAAGAGCUAGGUAGCCACGCCUUCUUUUUGAUUUGGAUUGGUUUGAGAGAGUCAAGUAAAUUAGAUUAUUUGACAGCUUCUUCUUUCCGUCUUCU